UACGUAGGGGGCAAGCGUUGUCCGGAUUUAUUGGGCGUAAAGAGCGUGUAGGCGGUUAGGUAGGUCCGUUGUGAAAACUCGAGGCUCAACCUCGAGACGCCGAUGGAAACCAUCUGACUAGAGUCCGGAAGAGGAGAGUGGAAUUCCUGGUGUAGCGGUGAAAUGCGCAGAUAUCAGGAAGAACACCCGUGGCGAAGGCGGCUCUCUAGUACGGUACUGACGCUGAGACGCGAAAGCGUGGGGAGCGA
rnacentral:rRNA from 1 species